CAGUAGCCACGGGAACACGUAGGGUGCAAGCGUUAUCCGGAAUUAUUGGGCGUAAAGAGCUCGUAGGCGGUCUGUCGCGUCUGCUGUGAAAACUGGGGGCUCAACCCCCAGCCUGCAGUGGGUACGGGCAGACUAGAGUGCGGUAGGGGAGAUUGGAACUCCUGGUGUAGCGGUGGAAUGCGCAGAUAUCAGGAAGAACACCGAUGGCGAAGGCAGAUCUCUGGGCCGUAACUGACGCUGAGGAGCGAAAGCAUGGGGAGCGAACAGGAUUAGAUACCCCUGUAGUCCCUGUCUCUUAUAC
rnacentral:rRNA from 1 species